rnacentral:rRNA from 1 species
UACGGGGGGGGCAAGCGUUGUUCGGAAUUACUGGGCGUAAAGGGCUCGUAGGCGGCCAACUAAGUCGGACGUGAAAUCCCCAGGCUCAACCUGGGAACUGCGUCCGAUACUGGAUGGCUUGAAUCCGGGAGAGGGAUGCAGAAUUCCAGGUGUAGCGGUGAAAUGCGUACAUAUCUCGAGGAAUACCGGUGGCGAAGGCGGAUCUCUGGGCCUUACCUGACGCUCAGGCGCGAAAGCUAGGGGAGCGAACAGG